CCGCAGCCAAUUAAGCCGACUGAGUUCCUUUCCUCAUGGGGACCCAGUGUGCGAUGGCUGCACACAGCAGCUUCCUUGGUAGUGUACGCAGCCUGUUGGUUGUAUGGGUUGCUCUAAGGGACCUUGGAGACAGGC
ensembl:snoRNA SNORA70 small nucleolar RNA, H/ACA box 70